UUGCGGCAACUUCAGGAGGAAACAUCGGUUCUUGUACGAUCAAGGAAGUUAAGCAACGAGCUUGGACAUUACUUAGAUGGGUGACCCCUUGGGAAUACCAGGUGCUGAA